rnacentral:rRNA from 1 species
GAUGAACGCUGGCGGCGUGCUUAACACAUGCAAGUCGAACGAAGCAUUUGCGACAGAUUUUUUCGGAAUGAAGUUGCUUAUGACUGAGUGGCGGACGGGUGAGUAACGCGUGGGUAACCUGCCUUGUACUGGGGGAUAGCAGCUGGAAACGGCUGGUAAUACCGCAUAAGCGCACAAUGUUUCAUGACCUGGUGUGAAAAACUCCGGUGGUAUAAGAUGGACCCGCGUCUGAUUAGCUAGUUGGUGAGAUAACAGCCCACCAAGGCGACGAUCAGUAGCCGACCUGAGAGGGUGACCGGCCACAUUGGGACUGAGACACGGCCCAGACUCAUACGGGAGGCAGCAGUGGGGAAUAUUGCACAAUGGAGGAAACUCUGAUGCAGCGACGCCGCGUGAGUGAAGAAGUAAUUCGUUAUGUAAAGCUCUAUCAGCAGGGAAGAUAGUGACGGUACCUGACUAAGAAGCUCCGGCUAAAUACGUG